UAGAGUUUGAUUCUGGCUCAGAACGAACGCUGGCGGCAGGCCUAACACAUGCAAGUCGAGCGCACCUUCGGGUGAGCGGCGGACGGGUUAGUAACGCGUGGGAACAUACCCUUUUCUACGGAAUAGCCUCGGGAAACUGAGAGUAAUACCGUAUAAGCCCUUCGGGGGAAAGAUUUAUCGGGAAAGGAUUGGCCCGCGUUANAUUANAUAGUUGGUGGGGUAAUGGCCUACCAAGUCUACGAUCUAUAGCUGGUUUUAGAGGAUGAUCANCAACACUGGGACUGAGACACGGCCCAGACUCCUACGGGAGGCAGCAGUGGGGAAUCUUAGACAAUGGGCGCAAGCCUGAUCUAGCCAUGCCGCGUGUGUGAUGAAGGUCUUAGGAUCGUAAAGCACUUUCGCCAGGGA
rnacentral:rRNA from 2 species